UAACAUUUGCUUCUCUUUUCAGCUAUUUGAUAGGAGAGGAAGGCUACUGUCUGACCUCCAUGCAGAGUGCAUUGGCCUAUGUUGAGUCGUUGCACACAGGAGGAGCUCACCUUUCUGCAGGCAAGCUCAUUUAAUAAAGGCUCCUGCAGUCACAAGACCUUCAUCCCACCUUCCCUGCAGCGCUACAGUCAACAGCUGAACCUGCCGCUCCCUGCUAGUUGUGCAGACGCAUGCUAUCUUGUACACAUGCAGACAUAUUGUACAUUUAACAGAAGGACUUCUUUUUGCUCGGUUUUCAACAGAGGACUAAACCAGUGCCUAUGACUUUAUUCUAACUAGUCAGACCCUGAUCGGGGUCAAACUUGGCUCUGCUGGGACCUCCUAAGGAUGUUCAAGCUGUAAAACAUUGCUGCAUUAACUAGCACUAGAUUGUUAAAAGGACUGUGGUUGAGGUUUGAGUUGUCUUGGGGAACCUCUGGAUGUGAUGCCACAGAUUAAAUGAAUGCUUACAGAGGGAAAACCUGCAAUAGGGUUUACUAAUGAGGAAAUGUAUGUCCCAAUCUGAAGAUGUUUUUUCCCUUGCAUUGCACUUCUUAAUCCAUGUAUCCUGUGGCAUUUUGUCUUACAAAAAACAUCAGCGUGUGCAUGUUUUUGUGUUCAUAUGUUAAGUGGUGGUAAAAAUCCAUCUACAGAAUAUGAAUGAAAAAUAUUAAUUUAUGCUCUAUGGGUGUUAAAGCAUUCGGGGGUGGAGCUACACUGGAUGAAGGCUUUGAGUCCAGAUACUAGAUCUAUUUUGAAAGAGAUUCUCCUACGUGACUGAGACAGCGAUUGUCAGAGAUGCCAUGUAACAGGAACAAUGUGAGACACUGGAAGAGCAUAAGACUUACUGCUGUGGACUGAAAAGUCCAGUUUGGAGCAUCUUCUGACAAUCACUGUACUUAUUAAUUACUGUACAUAGUAAUACUAUUGCACUUUGUUAGUUGGUCCACGUUUUGUGUAUUUGUGAGUUGCUUGACAAUUUGUAAGCAAAGCCACAGAUAUGUGGCCUAUCUUUUUACCUUAAAUUCAGUUUUAAUGCCAAGGUUCAAAGUCAACAAACUCUCCAAGGGAACGCUAAAAGCAUUCUAACAGUUUAUUUUAUUCUUCAUCAAUUUCCCAAUGCUUCCAUUGACAGUUGCCCCAAAUUCACAACCAUAGGAGUAGAGGAAAAUGCCAACCUAUUCAUUUGGAAAUGGAUCCACAGUUAGAUCUUGAGGAGCUGCGAAAAUAUGAGAUGAAUAGUGGUAAAGUGAUUGUCAUGUUGACUUGAAGGAUAUUUGACAUUUUUAAAAAUGCUUUUCUAUGUAGUCCUUCAAGCUGUUUGGUUUUAAAUACAUUCAGGCAUUAGAGUGCAGACACCUGAAAGGGUCUGGGGGUCACAUUCAAAUAUCAAUGGUAUGCCUCAGUAGGUGAUUGGCAAUGAUUUCAAUUAUACUUCAUGUAUUUAUAAAUGGGCUGAAUAUGCAAAAGUAUUGUUGUAGUAUUGUUUGAAGACUCACUUAAAGCAGACCUGACUCCAUUGUCACUUAUAGACUGAAAACAUUUUAUUGUGUUUGCUUGCUUGAAUUUACUAUUUAAUUUUUUAUUUUUUUGUAUGGGUCCAAAAGAUGUGAAAAGAUGUUUGCAUAUGUUACUACUACAUUGAAAGUGACAUUAACACCAAAAACACAUUUGUCUAUGUAAUAAAUGUUUAUGUAAUGGCAGGAUGCUGUGAUAUUUGCAGAGUGGAUUAAGCCACUACAUACAUGUAAAUGAGUUAUUGUACAUUUUGCCUCGCUUUUGAAAACUGAAUGUGAAUGUGUUAUUUUGUUAUUAAACUGUUUUACUGUGAGAGGUUGAGAAUGUGAAGAUGAAUGCGUGUUUGAGAGAUGGGUCAAUAAAGAGAAGAGAGAAAUGUUUAAAUCA